GACGAACGCUGGCGGCGUGCUUAACACAUGCAAGUCGAACGGAGAUUCAGCAAUGGAUCUUAGUGGCGAACGGGUGAGUAACGCGUAGGCAAUCUGCCUUCUAGAUGGGGACAACAUCCCGAAAGGGGUGCUAAUACCGAAUGUUGUACCGUUUCCGCAUGGAGAUGAUACUAAAGGUGGCCUCUGAAUAUGCUACCGCUAGAAGAUGAGCCUGCGUCUGAUUAGCUAGUUGGAGGGGUAACGGCCCACCAAGGCUUCGAUCAGUAGCCGGUCUGAGAGGAUGAACGGCCACACUGGGACUGAGACACGGCCCAGGCUCCUACGGGAGGCAGCAGUGGGGAAUCUUCCGCAAUGGACGAAAGUCUGACGGAGCAACGCCGCGUGAGUGAAGAAGGUUUUCGGAUCGUAAAGCUCUUUCGUUAGGGACGAACGUGCUCUUUGUGAAUAAUGAGGAGUAAUGACGGUACCUAAAUAAGAAGCCACGGCUAACUACGUGCCAGCAGCCGCCGUAAAAC
rnacentral:rRNA from 1 species